rnacentral:rRNA from 1 species
ACCAGACUCCUACGGGAGGCAGCAGUGGGGAAUAUUGGGCAAUGGGCGCAAGCCUGACCCAGCAACGCCGCGUGAAGGAAGAAGGCUUUCGGGUUGUAAACUUCUUUUAAGAGGGAAGAGAAGAAGACGGUACCUCUUGAAUAAGCCACGGCUAACUACGUGCCAGCAGCCGCGGUAAUACGUAGGUGGCAAGCGUUGUCCGGAUUUACUGGGUGUAAAGGGCGUGCAGCCGGGCUGACAAGUCAGAUGUGAAAUCCCGCGGCUCAACCGCGGAACUGCAUUUGAAACUGUCAGUCUUGAGUACCGGAGAGGUCAUCGGAAUUCCUGGUGUAGCGGUGAAAUGCGCAGAUACCAGGAAGAACACCGGUGGCGCAGGCGGCUUGCUGGACGGCAACUGACGCUGAGGCUCGAAAGCGUGGGGAGCAAACAGGAUUAGAUACCCGCGUAC